GGUGGUAUAGCUCAGUGGUAGAGUACACGCUUAGCAUGCACAAACUCCUGGGUUCAAUCCCUAGGACCACCA
rnacentral:tRNA from 1 species